rnacentral:lncRNA from 1 species
UAUCUUAAAAAGUAAAGAAAAAGAAAGAAAAAUUUCUGUUGAAAAGGUCAAUAAACAUGAUUAAUGCAGAUUUCUAUAGUAUCUUCUAACAUUUUCCCCCAAAUUAAAAAGAAAGAAAAAGAAAGAUAGCCAAAAAUCUGUUUUAUAAAAUAUUUGUAUAUGCAAGUAACAGAUAACAUGGAAAGAGACAUGCUAAGUAGCUGAAAUUGUGAUUGAGAAUGAAAGUUCUGCAAUUGUGCAUCCCAGAGUUUUGGUUCUCUCUUAAUCACAUACUUAUAUUCCUGUGCCAGCAAAUGUCAAAUUGAGGUGCCUAUGGCAAAUUAUGCCCUAAUUAAGUAGGUGUCUUAACCGUGGAAAUCAAAUCGUUGCCAUCAAAUCGCUCAAGAGUAAAACAUGAGAAUUUUGUGAAGGUGAGUGUCAUAAAAUUGAAUAAACUUGAAUAACCCGCUUCAUAAAAUUGAAUAAACAAUCACAUAUAGAAUGAAUGAUUAAACCUGGGGAGCCAGCAGAGGAAUCGGGAGGUGAGUCCAUGUUUAGUUUUACUGAUGACGAUACGGAUGUUGUCGAUGGCCAUGACUGACCUCUCCCUCCUCCUGCGGAAGUGCUCCCGCUAUUCAUUUCCCCAAAUUCCAAAGAGAGAAGAGAGAAGAAAAGAUUUGGGUGGGAUAUCAUGUAGGGGUGAGUUUGAUUUGGGAGGGGUAUCGUGUAGGUGUGGGGUGAGUUUGGGCGGGAUUUUUUAGUGUGAGAUGAAAUAUGAGCCUUUAGACUAAGUUGGAAGAAUUGAGAUGAAAUCUGAACCGUUGUUGUGAUUUUCCAAAUGAAAAGAUUUAAAAUGGGUUCUAUUUUAUUAUUAUAGAUUGAUACUCC